rnacentral:rRNA from 1 species
ACUAGGACGUUGAUAGGUUGGGUGUGGAAGCACGGUGACGUGUGAAGCUGACCAAUACUAAUUGCUCGUGAGGCUUGACUAUACAACACCCAAACAGUUG